rnacentral:SRP_RNA from 1 species
GUCGGGCGUGGUGACGUGCGCCUGUGAUCCCAGCAACUCAGGAGGUUGAGACAGGGGAAUCGCUUGAACCCGGGAGGUGGAGUUUGCAGUGAGCCACGACAGCGCCAUUGCACUCCACCCUGGGUGACAGAGCGAGACUCUGUCUCAA